rnacentral:rRNA from 1 species
UACGGAAUGUGCAAACGUUAUUCGGAAUCACGGGCUUAAAGAGUCCGUAGGCGGCAUGUUAGGUGAGGUGUGAAAUCCCCGGCUCAACCGAGGAAUUGCGCUUCAAACCGGCGUGCUUGAGGAAGAUAGAGGUGGGCGGAACUGAUGGUGGAGCGGUGAAAAUGCGUUUGAUAUCUGGAGGAACACCGGGUGGCGAAGGCGACAUCCUGGACCGGUAUUGACGCUGAGGCGCGAAAGCCAGGGGAGCAAACAGG